AUAUUAUAUUAUAUAUAUAUAUUUUAAUCCACAUAAACUUUUGAAGUUAUGUAUGACUAAUGUAUGAACAUUUACCUUAUCCAUACUUUAUAAUAUUUAUUUUAUAUUUUUGUUACAAUAUAUGCUCUAUUUUUUUUAUACGCUUACAUAUUAAAAUAGACAUAUAUUAAUUUUAACUGCCACAAAACAGUUCCUUUGAGUUAUAAUUCGAAUAAGCUUCAAUAUAUAUAUAUAUAUAUAUUACCAUAUUUUUAUUAUACUAAUACUUUUUUUUUAAAAAUGGAACAUCCAAGCUAUAUUCCAGGUUAUAAAAAUAUAAAUGUUGCAACAUUGUACAGACCAUUAGAUAACUAUGAAUAUGUUAAUGCCACACGAGUUAAACAAUUUUCCUAUAAUCCAAACUUUAGGCAAGAACCACUCAUGGGUCCAUAUAUCAAAGAAUACUAUGAGAAUAGUGUAAACUAUCAAAUUAAUAAAGAUAUGAAACCAUUAAUUUUUCAUCCCCUUAUGUUACCAUAUAAAGAUAUGCAUAGACAAUGUAACCCAUUAGUCGCAUAUCCUUAUGGAAUACCACGAGAUGCAAAGGUACAUGAUAAAUGCUCAAAAUGUAAAGGAAAAAAAAAAAAAAAAAAAAAAAAAAAAAAAAAAAAAAAAAAAAAAAAAAAAAAAAAAAAAAAAAAAAAAAAAAAAAAAAUUGUCAAAAAGAAGUAUUAUAACUGUAAGUAUAAUUACUUUUCAGUUUGUAAAAUAUUAUAUAUAAAAUAGUAUGUAAAAUAGUACAUAAAAUGGUAUAUAAAAUGGUAUAUAAAAUGGUUUAUAAAAUGGUAUAUAAAAUGUUAUAUAAAAUAGUAUAUAAAAUAGUAUAUAAAAUGGUAUAUAAAAUGGUAUAUAAAAUGAUAUAUAA
rnacentral:lncRNA from 1 species